ensembl:snRNA U5 U5 spliceosomal RNA
CACUCAUGUUUCUCUUCAUAUCGUAUAAAUCUUUCGCCUUUUACUAAAGAUUUCCGUGGAGAGGAACAAUAUGAGUUCAAACUAAUUUUUUGAUGCCCUGCCUUGUGCGGGGCU